AAACUGCGAUAAGUAGUGUGAAUUGCAUUUAGUGAAUCAUCGAAUCUUUGAACGCACCCUGCACUCACUGGUAUUCCGGUGAGUACGCCUGUUUCAGUAUCAUUGAAAACACACAAUCAAAACAUUUUCUUUGGUUUGAUUGGCUUUGGGUCUAUCAAAAAGUUUGGCUUGUUUCUUACAAGCCAAGCGGCCUGAAAUAUAUUGUCUGGCUAAUUGCAUCGUUGAUGAUCGCUAUUAGACUUUGGCUUUUUUAAAUGAACUGGAGGUUGAUUAACCAGUUUUAGCUUUAGUCAAAUGGUCAUUGUAAAAAAAAUCUCGAUCUUGGCUAGGUGUUUAUAGCCGAAAAUUUUUUUUUUGGCUAUAACCGAAACCAAUAUAAUCACAUUUAGUUAUCGAUCUGAAAUCAGGUGGGACUACCCGCUGAACUUAAGC
rnacentral:misc_RNA from 1 species